rnacentral:rRNA from 1 species
AACGAACGCUGGCGGCAUGCCUAACACAUGCAAGUCGAACGAGAUCUUCGGGUCUAGUGGCGCACGGGUGCGUAACGCGUGGGAAUCUGCCCUUUGGUUCGGAAUAACAGUUGGAAACGACUGCUAAUACCGGAUGAUGACGAAAGUCCAAAGAUUUAUCGCCAGAGGAUGAGCCCGCGUAGGAUUAGCUAGUUGGUGUGGUAAAGGCGCACCAAGGCGACGAUCCUUAGCUGGUCUGAGAGGAUGAUCAGCCACACUGGGACUGAGACACGGCACAGACUCCUACGGGAGGCAGCAGUGAGGAAUAUUGGACAAGGGGCGAAAGCCUGAUCCAGCAAUGCCGCGUGAGUGAUGAAGGCCUUAGGGUUGUAAAGCUCUUUUACCCGGGAUGAUAAUGACAGUACCGGGAGAAUAAGCUCCGGCUAACUCCGUGCCAGCAGCCGCCGUAA